AGAUAAAAAAAGACCCAAAACUAUUCCGAUUGUUUUGGGUCCAGGGGAAUGGCUCUGUUUAAAGAGCCGUGCGCUACUGGUGAGAAUUACUCUCUGGCUAAUAGUGUAGUUGACCUAAGUCGCUUACACCGUAU
rnacentral:sRNA from 1 species